ACCCCCAGCAGUGGGCAAAGAGACACCUGGUUAGUGCUGAUGCUCCUAUAUCAGUCAGGGGCAGAGCAGACGGCAGUCCUUUGUGAACCCUAGCUUGAUGCCUGACUUGGUGACCCAAGCUGUUUUAUGCCUAGGACACAUGA